ACAAGUAGCGGAGCAUGUGGUUUAAUUCGAAGCAACGCGAAGAACCUUACCUAAGCUUGACAUCCCAAUGACAUCUCCUUAAUCGGGGAGUUCCCUUCGGGGACAUUGGUGACAGGUGGUGCAUGGUUGUCGUCAGCUCGUGUCGUGAGAUGUUGGGUUAAGUCCCGCAACGAGCGCAACCCUUGUCUUUAGUUGCCAUCAUUAAGUUGGGCAC
rnacentral:rRNA from 2 species